rnacentral:misc_RNA from 1 species
CAGAGUGGUAAUUGGAUCUUUCGGGCUGGCAGGCUCCGUGCUUGUGCAUCGAACUGCUGCUCGUUGAUCCUCUUCAUUGAAAAUCCAGGGGCUUCUUUGCCCCUGCGAUGACGUGGGAUUCCUGUGCUGCGUACCCAUAUUUGCGGAAUUUCCUUGUUACGGUGUGCUUUCUUUUCCCGGCGCCUUUGUGCGGCACGGGUCGGACCACGCGGCAGUGCAAGUGUUCCAAGCAAGCCCUUGUGGGUUGUUUUGGCCCAUUUGCUCAUGCUCGUGCUUUUGGAUGCGGAAAGUUGUGCCUUGAAAGAGGUGCUUGUUAGCCCUCUUUAGACCCGAAUGGAGCUCUCUUUGCUCAAUAAGCUUGACAGUUGCUCUCGCAUUGGCUAGUCGGUCCACUGACCUGGCUCGAUUGGCCUGUGCGUGCUGCGAUGUCACGAAGGAUUGCUACCUGGUUGAUCCUGCCAGUAGUCAUAUGCUUGUCUCAAAGAUUAAGCCAUGCAUGUGUAAGUAUGAACUAAUUCAAACUGUGAAACUGC